rnacentral:lncRNA from 1 species
ACUACUUUGCAAAUUUAAGCAAAACAAGGUAAAUUUAAGCAAAAACAAUGGAAUUUAAACAUAUUGUCAAUCACUUAGCAAAAACAUAGGUUUAAAAUUACAAAGGAAUUUAAAAUUACAAAAUAGUCUUUCAAGAAAUUAAAUUACAACUAAACCAAAAUUAAGUUCUUCCAACUUUCAAGCAAAAUUCAAACACAAUUUUGGUUUGUGGUUUGUGAAAAACAUAAUUUUACUUUUACACUUAUAUAUAUAUAUAUAUAUAUAUCUGGGGGUAUUUAGGUAAUUUUAACAUGUUUCGGGUGGGUGUAUGGGUUUCGGGUGUGGGUUUGAGUGAUACCANNNNNNNNNNNNAAACCCACACCCAUAUUUUCGGGUGUCACCUAAACCCAAACCCAAACCCAGUCAAUUCGGGUUUCGCCCGUUGACUUGGGUUUGGGUUCGGGUGGGUCUCACGGGUUUGGGUUUUUCUGCCAUCCCUA